rnacentral:rRNA from 1 species
UACGUAGGGUGCAAGCGUUAAUCGGAAUUACUGGGCGUAAAGCGUGCGCAGGCGGUCUUGCAAGACAGAUGUGAAAUCCCCGGGCUCAACCUGGGAACUGCAUUUGUGACUGCAAGGCUGGAGUGCGGCAGAGGGGGAUGGAAUUCCGCGUGUAGCAGUGAAAUGCGUAGAUAUCAGGAGGAAUACCGAUGGCGAAGGCAGGUCUCUGGGCUGACACUGACGCUCAUGCACGAAAGCGUGGGGAGCAAACAGG